rnacentral:rRNA from 1 species
AGAGUUUGAUCCUGGCUCAGAGUGAACGCUGGCGGCGUGCUUAACACAUGCAAGUCGAACGAGAACGGACUAAAGCUUGCUUUAGUUGUCAGCUAAGUGGCGCACGGGUGAGUAAUAUAUAGUCAAUUUGCCUCUUACUAAGGGAUAAUUGUUGGAAACGACUUGUAAUACCUUAUAUGCCUAUAAUACAAAAGUAUGCUAGGGAAAGAUUUAUCGGUAAGAGAUAAGACUGUACAGUAUCAGUUAGUUGGUGAGGUAAUGGCUCACCAAGACAAUGACGCUUAACUGGUUUGAGAGGAUGAUCAGUCACACUGGAACUGAGACACGGUCCAGACUCCUACGGGAGGCAGCAGUGGGGAAUAUUGCACAAUGGAGGAAACUCUGAUGCAGCAACGCCGCGUGGAGGAUGACACUUUUCGGAGCGUAAACUCCUUUUAUAUGAGAAGAUAAUGACGGUAUCAUAUGAAUAAGCACCGGCUAACUUCGUGCCAGCAGCCGCGGUAAUACGAGGGGUGCAAGCGUUACUCGGAAUCACUGGGCGUAAAGAGCAUGUAGGCGGGUAAUUAAGUUGGAAGUGAAAUCCUAUGGCUUAACCAUAGAACUGCUUCCAAAACUGAUUACCUAGAGUAUGGGAGAGGUAGAUGGAAUUUCUGGUGUAGGGGUAAAAUCCGUAGAGAUCAGAAGGAAUACCGAUUGCGAAGGUGAUCUACUAGAACAU